GAUUAACGCUAGCGGCAGGCCUAAUACAUGCAAGUUGUACGGGAUUAUUGGUAGCAAUACUGAUAUGAGAGUAGCGCACGGGUGCGUAACACGUAUGCAACCUACCUUUAACUGGGGAAUAGCCUUCCGAAAGGAAGAUUAAUACCGCAUAACAUUGCGAAACGACAUCGUUUUGCAAUUAAACCUACGGGGGUUAGAGAUGGGCAUGCGUCCGAUUAGCUAGUUGGCGGGGAAUAGCCCACCAAGGCAACGAUCGGUAGGGGGUCUGAGAGGAUGAUCCCCCACACUGGUACUGAGACACGGACCAGACUCCUACGGGA
rnacentral:rRNA from 1 species